CAGGAUGAACGCUAGCUACAGGCUUAACACAUGCAAGUCGAGGGGGCAGCAUACAGGUAGCUUGCUAUCUGUGAUGGCGACCGGCGCACGGGUGAGUAACGCGUAUCCAACCUGGCCCAUAGUAGGGAACAGCCCGGCGAAAGUCGGAUUAAUGCCCUAUGUUGUUUGAAGCGGACAUCUAAUUCAAACCAAAGAUUGAUCGCUAUGGGAUGGGGAUGCGUCUGAUUAGGUUGUUGGCGGGGUAACGGCCCACCAAGCCAUCGAUCAGUAGGGGUUCUGAGAGGAGGGUCCCCCACACUGGUACUGAGACACGGACCAGACUCCUACGGGAGGCAGCAGUGAGGAAUAUUGGUCAAUGGGCGCGAGCCUGAACCAGCCAAGUAGCGUGCAGGAAGACGGCCCUACGGGUUGUAAACUGUCUUUUAUGCGGGGAUAAAGUGUGGGACGCGUCCCUCAUUGCAGGUACCGCAUGAAUAAGGACCGGCUAAUUCCGUGCCAGCCGCGGC
rnacentral:rRNA from 1 species